ACCUCGGCCGUGGGGAGAGCGGGCGAACCGGAGGACGUGAGCCAGGGCGGGCCGGCAACCUUGGUUGUUUGCGGCACCAGAUCUGGCCGCCCCUACAUCCUCUGUCUCUGGAUGAGCCAUGCCACGGCCCGAUCUGGUUUGCUUCGUCGUGGGCGCCGGUUCUCGUGUUGUUGGGGAGUGGUUGGCGGGGACGUGAAGACCGGGAGAAAUCUCAUGCCGGCCUUGCUGGUCUCGACGGCGGCGACGCCCGCGGGCGCCGCUCCCCUCCUUGGAGGCGCCGCCUGGGGACAUAAAUAGGACAGCAGGGGAAUCCUCUUAAAUCACAUCCUGGAAGACGACCUUUGCUAUGUGGCUAUCAACUGUUUCAGAUCACAUACAACUCAAACGGACACACAUGUAUUCCGGACAUACAAAUGCAUGUACAUACGCACCUGAGCAAGAACUCUUGUGUCAAGCUUGCGGCAGAUGGAAGAGGUGAGCUGUUCGAGCUGGGAAUACUCCCAAAGGUUCAGCUUUGGCUCGGCUGAAACAUGCCUUCCUGAGCAUAUCUCGACUGUUCGAACCAACAACACAGCUGUAUCUCCUUCAAUUGAUCCAUGGCUCUCCUUUGCAGUCCAUGCCAUGAGCCACUGCUUCCACUGCAGUUGCCAAAGAAAAUAGAGCAUCACGAAGACUGCUGGAAGAGUCAUUGUCGAAUGAAACAAGGUCGAUAAGCUCUUCAAGAUUCUUUGUUGAGUCCUUUUUCCCCCUGCAAUGCAUGCGCACACAUGUUAUUUUGAUCAGUCCGGCAGGUUGCCACAUAAUACCUCGCCCGGCAGGUCCUUGGUGAUGAUCCACUUGUCAUGCAAUUUGUUCGAGGCUUGUCUUUCUUGGAGGAAUGUACGGCAAUAGCGCCCGGCUCGUGACAGGACAUCAUCGUCACCUGGG